rnacentral:lncRNA from 1 species
GCUGUGGGUAGGGUUGCCACCCACUAGAUCAGGCUGCCAGGACCCCAUCCAAACUAGCACUGAACACUUUCAGGGAUGGGACAUACACAACUUCUCUGGGCAAUCUGUUCCUCACCACCCUCUAAGUAAAGAUUUUCUUUCUAAUAUCUAAUCUAAAUAUCUAUGUCAUCUGGGACCACAACAGAGCUGAUAUAACCUGCUCUGAGCUGUGUCUGGUUCCCAGGGCAUCCAGUAGUUCCUGGUCCACUUGUGCUCCAGCCAGCUGAAGUUCUCUGGCUUUGUGAAUUUAGGAAAAAAGAGGAAUAAAUCCUAUCUUGGAUGGUACCUUUAUUCAGCAACUGACAGAGGGUGUCAUAAGCACUUUGCAGGGUAGAGUUCUCAUCUGCUUGGACAACUUGACAACCUAUUUGAGAAGAAUUGAAAGAAAUAAAUUUUAUGUCCUAAAAUGUCCUAAGCACCUGAAACAAGAGAAACCUGUACCAUGCUGCAUGCUUCUGCAGACAUUAAAUCUCUGUUAAGAGUGAAGUGGUAGUGGAAGGCCUAAAAUCCAAGUCCCCUCCAUAUAUUUGCAAGAGGUGGCAGUAAACACCUGAAGCAGCCUCAUACUUGAAGACCCCCACAAGUCCUCUGCCAAGCAGUCUUGCAGCCAACUACGUGAUAUUUUUAGCAGAGAAGAAUCAACAUCAGACUUCUGCUCAAAAUCUGAGUUUUCCCAAAGUUGAGGCAUACCUAGAAUUUUGCUCUGGAUUUCUCUUUCUUCCUGUAAUGCAGAAAGAAUGGUUUGCUUAAGUACCUGGAUCAGACUGCAACUGAAAGGUUUAAUCAUCUCAGUGAGAAAAGUGACACUG